rnacentral:sRNA from 1 species
GUUUUUUCUAGUAGUUCCGGCAGCACCUCUCGCAGUGAAUUCAGCAGACACUCCCGAAAUUUCUCAGCAACAAGCUGUCAGCUAAUCCAUUGUUUAUUAAUUAUAGAGGUUUCUCAAAAUGGCUACAGGUUCAGUUAAAUGGUUCAACGAUAGUAAAGGUUUUGGUUUCAUUACACCGGCAGACGGUAGUGCGGACGUUUUCGUUCAUCACUCCGCCAUCCAGAUCAGUGGUUUUAAAUCACUGGCGGAAGGUCAGCAGGUGUCUUUCGAUACUGAAGCCGGUCAAAAAGGCCCCAGCGCUGUCAAUGUUGUUCCCCAGUAGAACUAACUGGUAAU